GGCGCCGUGUCUUAAUUGGUUAAAGCGCCUGUUUAGUAAACAGAAAAUCACGAGUUCGAAUAUCGUCGGUGUCU